UUCAGGUUGCAGCUAAAGCUCUGGAGGCGUUUGGAGCGUACUUCAACAUCCUGACAAACCUGAAAGACGUCAGCGACGAGGCCUUCAGAGCGGCGACCCACAGGAGAGCGUCCGCUCUGCUGCAGGAGGCCAAAGACAGCGCUGCCGCCAUCCUCCUCGCCGCCGAGAGCAGGAGCUGAAACGCUGAGAGACUGUUAAUAAAACCUUCACUCAAACAA